GCGUGAGAUUGCGAGCCAGCGCACAUUGCGUCCCGUGGCCUACUGUGCAGAUGCCAAGCACAGUUUCACAGAGAUCGGGCUGCUGAGGAACAGGGAGCACCUGCAAGUGUUCCUUCGACAGCGCUGUCCCCUGCUCACAGGACCCCG